UCGGUUUAGUAUAUGUUUAUUACGUGAAAUUGUAAAUUUUGAGAUAGAGUUUUUCUAGCCGAA
rnacentral:tRNA from 1 species